rnacentral:lncRNA from 1 species
UUUUUUUUUGUUUUGUUUUUUUUUUUUUUUUGGAAGGAGGAAGCGGCGACGGGUUACAGGCUGGAGGCUGUCUCUGUGCUCAGAUCCCACACAUGUCCCCAGCAAGCCCCAGCACCUGCCCUGCAGGAAGCGGGGUCUUGAACACUGCCCUGUGGGGGCGAUGUGGCCUCUGGGCUCUCUCAGCGGCAGGCAAGGCAGCGUCUUCUCGCACCCUCAUUUCCUUCCACUUGUCUCCAGGGCAAAAUACUACACAGUGGCACCCAGUGGCCGGCCCUGACUUUGAUCUUGGGAGCUUUCCUCUCCACCCAAGAGGAUCUGAGGUCAUUUCUGUAUCAGAAAAUCAGCAAGACCAGCAGCGGGACAGUGGGGACUGACGGCCUCUGUCAUUAGCAUCAUGGUGAGCACUUGAGCUGUGGUUUCCUCAGGAUGAAUCGGCCUUCCCCACAUGAACUCGUGGCAGGCAGAGAAUCUGGGUUGGGACCCUGGACUGCACCCCGUCCUGGGCUCCUGGCCUUUUCCCUCUCCGCCCUGCUAAGACCGCUGUGCCAAGCCCUGGGAUCGUCCAACAGGGAGAAAGUCCUUGGGACAAAAAUGACACGUUCUCAACAUCACCCACUGUUGAGGUCACAAGAAGCAGAGAAUACGAGAACGUUUCCAAAUGAAAGUGGGGGAAAGUUUGCAAAGAAGCAAGUUAGUUAGGGCUGUGCCCAUCCAGCACCAGCGCCAACACCAAGCCGUCUCUGCAGAGUAAACGGAAGCAGAUGUGGUGAGAUAAUACAUCCAACCCUGAGCACUACUCUAACCUGCCAGAGGCGGAGGGUUCUCAAUGAGAUGAAAGCAUUACAGAUGCGUUAGAUCUAAGGGAGGGGCCUACAGAGGCUCAGCUGGCAGAGAAACCAGGGAGGGGCUGAACUGUCAGUCGCAGCUACCAGGGAUCUGAAUUAGUUCACCAACAGCCUUGGGGACAUUCACCUUGGGCUCCACAACCUGUCAGAAAUGCCCCCAAGCCCGGAGGCGUCGAGGGAAUGGCCAGGUUAUUUCAGAUUGACACACAUCCUAGUGUAAAAGUCAGCCCACACACCCCACGUGCACUGAGCGUCUCUUGUUGUUCACCCCAAAUAAACUCUGCUGGAACUGGGGCGGGACUCGCAGGGGUGGAGAAGAGGGGAGACAGGCAGAGGGCAAAAGUGGGUGGUAAGAGGCGAUGGAGGGGUCCCACGACAGUGACGAGGCUGCACCCCUAACCAACGUCCUAGGGGUACUGUACAAAAGAGAACCACAGGCUGGGAGGCUGAACAACAGACCUGCACUCUCUCACAGCUCGGAGGCGGCAGGUCUGAAAUCAAGGGGCUGGCAGUGCUGGUUUCCUCUGGAGGCUGCAAGGGAGAAACCGUCCCCUGCCUCUCCCAGGCUCUGGGGUGAGCUCUUCCUUGCAUCCCGGGCUCGUUGUCGAUGGAUCACUCCAAUCUCCAUGGCUUCUCAGGGCUUCCCUCCAUGCACCUCAAAUCUCCCUCUCCUUCCUCUUGUAAGGAUGCCAGUCACUGGAUUUAGGUUCACUUUAAAUCCAGGAUGAUCUCAUCUAAAUUACAUCUGCAAAAAGACCCUAUUUCCAAAUAAGUUGACAUUCACAGGUACCUGGGGUUAGGACUUGGACGUAUCUUUUGCAGGGGGGACCGG